AUUGAACGCUGGCGGCAGGCCUAACACAUGCCAGUCGAACGGUAACAGGAAGCAGCUUGCUGCUUCGCUGACGAGUGGCGGACGGGUGAGUAAUGUCUGGGAAGCUGCCUGAUGGAGGGGGAUAACUACUGGAAACGGUAGCUAAUACCGCAUAAUGUCGCAAGACCAAAGAGGGGGACCUUCGAGCCUCUUGCCAUCGGAUGUGCCCAGAUGGGAUUAGCUUGUUGGUGGGGUAACGGCUCACCAAGGCGACGAUCCCUAGCUGGUCUGAGAGGAUGACCAGCCACACUGGAACUGAGACACGGUCCAGACUCCUACGGGAGGCAGCAGUGGGGAAUAUUGCACAAUGGGCGCAAGCCUGAUGCAGCCAUGCCGCGUGUAUGAAGAAGGCCUUCGGGUUGUAAAGUACUUUCAGCGGGGAGGAAGGGAGUAAAGUUAAUACCUUUGCUCAUUGACGUUACCCGCAGAAGAAGCACCGGCUAACUCCGUG
rnacentral:rRNA from 1 species